UCCCCGUUACCGGGGCAGUCUAGCUAGAGAAAUUCAACUAACUAUAAGGGUUGCGCUCGUUGAAGGACUUAACCUAACAUCUCACGACACGAGCUGAAGACGGCCAUGCAACACCUGUCACUGCGGCCCGAAGGCACUCUUUCCUUUCGGAAAGAUUAGCAGGAUGUCAAACCUUGGUAAGGUUCUUCGCUUACCAUCGAAUUAAACAACACGCUCCACCGCUUGUGCGGGUCCCCGUCAAUUCCUUUAUGUUUUAAGCUUGCGCUCGUACUCCACAGGCGGGAUGCUUAACGCGUUAGCUUCGCUACUAGAAGGGUCGAUACUCCUAACAGCUAGCAUCCAUAGUUUACAGCGUGGACUA
rnacentral:misc_RNA from 1 species